UUUCCCAGAUCUGUCAGGACACUUUCGUUGAGGCAACCUGACACUAUUCUCCCCGGCAAGUUUUCAAUUAUAUAACGGCUAACGGAAAAUCCUGUAAUAAUUAUGUCAGCGUUGUACUGUUAUGGAAAAUAUUGUAAUGAGAUUAGCUAUGCAUUGCAUUCCUCUGGAAAAGAGCCUAACGACGCGCGCACGCUGCCCUCCUGCCUCUCCUGCUCUUGAGGAAGCCUGCAGGGCUCAGGAGCCUUCACGCUGUCUGAAAUGCUGAUGAGUUUCGGAUCCAGAAUUCCACUCCAGCAGUGAGGAAGAAGGGACUCAGGAACUAAUUACAUAGCAGCUGAAGAGCAGCUCCAGCAACCCGGGCCUCAGCUCUAGCCCUGAGCAAGUGGUUCACACUGAGCUGAUCUGAGCAGCAGAGAACUAGAUGGCCCUGAAAGGCAAGCGUGCCCAAUGCACAGAACGGGACGCACCUCACCUCCCCAGGACAAUCGUAGUCUCAUGGCCCCGUCCCCUAAAAUUAAUCACUAUUUGCUGAACCCUGGAAGAGCCUUUCUAGGUUAAUUACACUUUGAUGUCUUAUGCAGCCAGCCAUAAGGAAAGAGGAGAGCAGAGGAGAAUCCCGCCAUGUGAUUAUAAGAACACAUGCAAUAAUAUUGGAAACCUCUCCUGAGGGAACUCAUUGCAUCUGACCUCAGCCGCCUGAAAGUCAGAUGUCUAAACUCUCCCCUGAGCUCUCCCUAGAUUUAAGAGGAAAGUCAGCAGCUCCACAUACCUCAUCCUGAGACAGCUGGGCAUGAGAAGGGGGAUUGAUUAAUUCCUGCAGUUGCUGGGCUCUCCUCCCUUGACCAGCGCAGGAGCUGGGAUGACUCCAACAAGAUG